UCAAGUGAAUAAGCGCACAUGGUGGAUGCCAUGGCGUCAGGAGGCGAUGAAGGACGUGCUAAUCUGCGAAAAGCUUAGGUAAGCCGAUAAGGGGCGCAAUAACCUAAGAUCUCCGAAUGGGGCAACCCGACAGUAAUGUCACUUAUAUCUUAAGAUAUAAGAGCGAACCAGGGGAAGUGAAACAUCUCAGUACCCUGAGGAAAAGAAAUCAACCGAGAUUUCCUAAGUAGCGGCGAGCGAACGGGAAAGAGCCCAAAAGUCAAUUAUGUACAAGUAGAACUGUAUGGAAAGGCAGAGGAAACAGAGUGAUACUCUCGUAUACGUAAGUGCAUAAAUGAUGAGCGUGAGUAGGGCGGGACACGUGGUAUCCUGUCUGAACAUGGGGGGACCAUCCUCCAAGGCUAAAUACUACCUGACGACCGAUAGUGAACCAGUACCGUGAGGGAAAGGCGAAAAGAACCCCUGUAAGGGGAGUGAAAUAGAAUCUGAAACCGUGUGCGUACAAGCAGUGGGAGCUCGAAAGAGUGACUGCGUACCUUUUGUAUAAUGGGUCAGCGAGUUAUCUGUAUUAGCGAGGUUAACUUUAAUGAGGGAGCCGUAGGGAAACCGAGUCUUAAUAGGGCGAGAAGUUGAUGCAGGUAGACCCGAAACCGAGUGAUCUAGUCCUGGACAGGCUGAAAGCAGGGUAACACCUGCCGGAGGGCCGAACCUACUGUCGUUGCAAAGCCAGAGGAUGAUCUGGGACUAGGGGUGAAAGGCCAAUCAAACCCGGUGAUAGCUGGUUCUCCCCGAAAGCUAUUUAGGUAGCGUCCUGCAGGGACGUAUGGGGGUAGAGCACUGUUAUAGGAAGGGGUUCAUUGUGAACUACCGACCUAUUGCAAACUACGAAUACCAUACAGUUGUAAGCAGGGGACACACAGUGGGUGCUAACGUUCAUUGUGAAGAGGGAAACAACCCGGACCGCCAGCUAAGGUCCCAAAGUUCUGAUUAAGUGGGAAACGAUGUGGGAAGGCAUAGACAGCCAGGAUGUUGGCUUAGAAGCAGCCAUCAUUAAAAGAAAGCGUAAUAGCUCACUGGUCGAGUCGGCCUGCGCGGAAGAUGUAACGGGGCUAAAAUCAGACACCGAAGCUGCGGAUUUGUAAUUUAUUACAAGUGGUAGGGGAGCGUUGUGUAAGCCUGAGAAGAUAAACUGGAAAGUUUAUUGGAGGUAUCACAAGUGCGAAUGCUGACGCAAGUAACGAUAAAACGAGUUAAAUGCUCGUUCGCCGGAAGACCAAGGUUUCCUGUCCAACGUUAAACGGGGCAGGGUUAGUCGGAGCCUAAGGCGAGGAUGAAAAUCGUAGUCGAAGGGAAACGGGUUAAUAUUCCCGUACCUUAAUAAGUUGCGAUGUGGUGACGGAGGAGGAAGAGUUAGCCUACUGAUGGUAUGUAGGUGAAAGGUGGUAGGUAGCAUGAUGGGUUAAAAGACACCAUGCAAUGAUCUGAGAGCCGAGACGAAGUAUCUACGGAUAUGAAGUAACUUGAACCAGACUUCCAGGAAAAGCCACUAAGCAUCAGACUUAUUAAGUCCGUACCCCAAACCGACACAGGUGGUCGGGUAGAAGAUACCAAGGCGCUUGGGAGAACUCGGGUGAAGGAACUAGGCAAAAUUGUACCGUAACUUCGGGAGAAGGUACGCUGUAGGGUGUGAAGAGCGCACGCUUGGAGCAUCAAACAGCCGCAGAUAAAUGGUGGCUGGGACUGUUUAACAAAAACACAGCACUCUGCAAACCUGAAAGGGGAAGUAUAGGGUGUGACACCUGCCCGGUGCCGGAAGGUUAAAUGAUGAGGUUAGAGCAAUCGAAGCCUCUGAGUGAAGCCCCGGUAAACGGCGGCCGUAACUAUAACGGUCCUAAGGUAGCGAAAUUCCUUGUCGGGCAAGUUCCGACCUGCACGAAUGGUGUAACCAUGGCCACGCUGUCUCCACCCGAGACCCAGUGAAACCGAAAUCGCUGUGAAGAUGCAGUGUACCCGCGGCUAGACGGAAAGACCCCGUGAACCUUUACUGCAGCUUGACACUGAACCUUGAACCUGUUUGUGCAGGAUAGGCGGGAGACGUAGAAGUAGAGACGCCAGUUUCUAUGGAGUCGACCUUGAAAUACCGCCCUGACAUGUUUGAUGUUCUAACUUGAAGUAAACAAACUUAAGGACAGUGUCUGGUGGGAAGUUUGACUGGGGCGGUCUCCUCCCAAAGAGUAACGGAGGAGCACGAAGGUCGGCUGAUCACGGUCGGAAACCGUGAGGUCAGUGCAAUGGCAAAAGCCGGCUUGACUGCGAGAGCAACAACUCGAGCAGGUGCGAAAGCAGGUCAUAGUGAUCCGGUGGUUCCAUAUGGACGGGCCAUCGCUCAACGGAUAAAAGGUACUCUGGGGAUAACAGGCUGAUACCGCCCAAGAGUUCAUAUCGACGGCGGUGUUUGGCACCUCGAUGUCGGCUCAUCACAUCCUGGGGCUGAAGUUGGUCCCAAGGGUAUGGCUGUUCGCCAUUUAAAGUGGUACGCGAGCUGGGUUCAAAACGUCGUGAGACAGUUUGGUCCCUAUCUACCGCGGGCGUUGGAUGAUUGAAGGGGAUUGCUCCUAGUACGAGAGGACCGGAGUGAACGAGCCUCUGGUUUACGGGUUGUCAUGCCAAUGGCACGGCCCGGCAGCCAAGCCCGGAACUGAUAACCGCUGAAAGCAUCUAAGCGGGAAGCAGGCCCUAAGAUGAGUCAUCCCUGACUAUAAGUCAAUAAAGACCGUUGAAGACUACGACGUUGAUAGGCUGGAUGUGGAAGCUCUGUGAGGAGUGAAGCUUGCCAGUACUAAUGAUCUGAACGUCUUGACCAU
rnacentral:rRNA from 1 species